CCCCAGCAGAAUCCUCCAAAUUACAGCAUUAGGUUCAAUCUUCAUAUUUUCUAUGAACUCAAAUGCAUCAUUCAAUAGCCCUGCACGCCCUAAAAGAUCCACCAUACACCCAUAGUGCCCUAAAUUUGGCUCUAUAUUAUAAUCAUCUUUCAUAAGAUUAUAAUAUUGACGCCCCUCUUUAACUUACCAGCAUGACUGCAAGCAACUAGCACUCCAACAAAAGUAAUUUCAUUUGGGCUGAUAUUUUUUAACCUUCGCAUCUCUGCAAACAAAUUGAUCGACUCCUCAGCGUGGCCAUGAAAAGCCAAACCUACUAUAACUGAAUUCCACGUUGAAACAUCUUUCUCCCUCAUCCCUCUGAA
rnacentral:misc_RNA from 1 species